rnacentral:rRNA from 1 species
GAUGAACGCUGGCGGCGUGCCUAAUACAUGCGAGUCGAGCGAACGGACGAGAAGCUUGCUUCUCUGAUGUUAGCGGCGGACGGGUGAGUAACACGUGGAUAACCUACCUAUAAGACUGGGAUAACUUCGGGAAACCGGAGCUAAUACCGGAUAAUAUUUUGAACCGCAUGGUUCAAAAGUGAAAGACGGUCUUGCUGUCACUUAUAGAUGGAUCCGCGCUGCAUUAGCCAGUUGGUAAGGUAACGGCUUACCAAGGCAACGAUGCAUAGCCGACCUGAGAGGGUGAUCGGCCACACUGGAACUGAGACACGGUCCAGACUCCUACGGGAGGCAGCAGUAGGGAAUCUUCCGCAAUGGGCGAAAGCCUGACGGAGCAACGCCGCGUGAGUGAUGAAGGUCUUCGGAUCGUAAAACUCUGUUAUUAGGGAAGAACAUAUGUGUAAGUAACUGUGCACAUCUUGACGGUACCUAAUCAGAAAGCCACGGCUAACUACGUG